UUGGGACUAGCGAAACCUAAAGGCGAAAUGAAAGUGAAAGUCGGCCUCGCGCCGACCUAGGGAGGAUGGGUCGCGUCACGGCGCGACCCCGCACUCCCGGGGCGUCUCGUUCUCAUUGCGAGAAGAGGCGCACCAAGAGCGUACACGCUGGGACCCGAAAGAUGGUGAACUAUGCCUGGUCAGGACGAAGUCAGGGGAAACCCUGAUGGAGGUCCGAAGCGAUUCUGACGUGCAAAUCGAUCGUCGGAACUGGGUAUAGGGGCGAAAGACUAAUCGAACCAUCUAGUAGCUGGUUCCCUCCGAAGUUUCCCUCAGGAUAGCUGGCGCUCGCUUUUGCGAGUCUCAUCUGGUAAAGCGAAUGAUUAGAGGCAUUGGGGUCGAAACGGCCUCAACCUAUUCUCAAACUUUAAAUGGGUGAGAUCUCCGGCUUGCUUAAAACGUGAAGCCGCGAGAUCGGAUCAGAGUGCCAAGUGGGCCAUUUUUGGUAAGCAGAACUGGCGCUGUGGGAUGAACCAAACGCAGAGUUAAAGCUCCAAAAUCAACGCUUAUGGGAUACCAUGAAAGGCGUUGGUAACUUAAGACAGCAGGACGGUGGCCAUGGAA
rnacentral:rRNA from 1 species